UAGAGUUUGAUCCUGGCUCAGAACGAACGCUGGCGGCGUGCGUAACACAUGCAAGUCGAACGGGGUUAAGGGGCUUGCUCCUUAACUUAGUGGCGCACGGGUGAGUAACGCGUGGAUAAUCUGCCCGAUGCUCAGGGAUAACAUCUCGAAAGGGGUGCUAAUACCUGAUAAGCCCACAGGCUCUUCGGAGUUUGCGGGAAAAGGGGGGGACCUUCGGGCCUCCCGACAUCGGAUGAGUCCGCGUCCCAUUAGCUAGUUGGUGGGGUAAAGGCCUACCAAGGCGACGAUGGGUAGCUGGUCUGAGAGGAUGAUCAGCCACACUGGAACUGAGACACGGUCCAGACUCCUACGGGAGGCAACAGUGGGGAAUUUUGCGCAAUGGGGGAAACCCUGACGCAGCAACGCCGCGUGAGUGAUGAAGGCCUUUGGGUCGUAAAGCUCUGUCAGAGGGAAAGAAAUGUGUGCGGUUAAUAGCCGUUACACUUGACGGUACCCUCAAAGGAAGCACCGGCUAACUCCGUGCCAGCAGCCGCGGUAAUA
rnacentral:rRNA from 1 species